rnacentral:rRNA from 1 species
GAUGAACGCUAGCUAUAGGCUUAACACAUGCAAGUCGAGGGGAAACGGCAUUAUGUGCUUGCACAUUUUGGACGUCGACCGGCGCACGGGUGAGUAUCGCGUAUCCAACCUGCCCUUUACUUGGGGAUACCCCGUUGAAAGACGGCCUAAUACCCGAUGUAAUUCAUUGAUGGCAUCAGAUAUGAAUAAAAGAUUUAUCGGUAAAGGAUGGGGAUGCGUCUGAUUAGCUUGUUGGUGAGGUAACGGCUCACCAAGGCGACGAUCAGUAGGGGUUCUGAGAGGAAGGUCCCCCACAUUGGAACUGAGACACGGUCCAAACUCGUACGGGAGGCAGCAGUGAGGAAUAGUGGUGAAGGGGAGCAAGCCUGAACCAGCCAAGUAGCGUGCAGGAAGACGGCCUUAUGGGUUGUAAACUGCUUUUAUACGAGAAUAAUUUGAUGCACGUGUGCGUUAUUGCAUGUAUCGUAUGAAUAAGGACCGGCUAAUUCCGUG